GAUGAACGCUGGCGGCGUGCCUAAUACAUGCAAGUCGAGCGAACAGACGAGGAGCUUGCUCCUCUGACGUUAGCGGCGGACGGGUGAGUAACACGUGGAUAACCUACCUAUAAGACUGGGAUAACUUCGGGAAACCGGAGCUACUACCGGAUAAUAUAUUGAACCGCAUGGUUCAAUAGUGAAAGACGGUUUUGCUGUCACUUAUAGCUGGAUCCGCGCCGCAUUAGCUAGUUGGUAAGGUAACGGCUUACCAAGGCAACGAUGCGUAGCCGACCUGAGAGGGUGAUCAGCCACACUGGAACUGAGACACGGUCCAGACUCCUACGGGAGGCAGCAGUAGGGAAUCUUCCGCAAUGGGCGAAAGCCUGACGGAGCAACGCCGCGUGAGUGAUGAAGGUCUUCGGAUCGUAAAACUCUGUUAUUAGGGAAGAACAAAUGUGUAAGUAACUAUGCACGUCUUGACGGUACCUAAUCAGAAAGCCACGGCUAACUACGUG
rnacentral:rRNA from 1 species